rfam:Schistosoma mansoni strain Puerto Rico chromosome 4, complete genome
AUUCAGCUGACGAGCCCCAUGUAGGAUGAAACGCGCGUCCUGUAU